rnacentral:rRNA from 1 species
CACGUAGGGCGCAAGCGUUGUCCGGAAUUAUUGGGCGUAAAGAGCUCGUAGGCGGUCUGUUGCGUCCGCUGUGAAAACUCGGGGCUUAACCCCGAGCCUGCAGUGGAUACGGGCAGACUAGAGGUAGGUAGGGGAGAAUGGAAUUCCCGGUGUAGCGGUGAAAUGCGUAGAUAUCUGGAGGAACACCGGUGGCGAAGGCGGCAUCCUGGACCAACACUGACACUGAGGAGCGAAAGCCAGGGGAGCAAACGGG